UACGUAGGAUGCAAGCGUUAUCCGGAUUUAUUGGGCGUAAAGCGUCUGUAGGUGGUUUGUUAAGUUGGAGAUGAAAGACCUAGGCUCAACUUAGGGAACGUUUCCAAAACUGGCAGACUAGAGAUAGGAAGAGGCAAGCGGAACUUGUGGUGUAGGGGUAAAAUCCGUAGAUAUCACAGGGAACGCCAAAUGCGAAAGCAGCUUGCUAGUCCUUUUCUGACACUGAGAGACGAAAGCGUGGGUAG
rnacentral:rRNA from 1 species